rnacentral:rRNA from 1 species
UACGAACUGUGCGAACGUUAUUCGGAAUCACUGGGCUUAAAGGGUGCGUAGGCGGUUAUCUAAGUCAGGUGUGAAAUCUCUCGGCUCAACCGGGAAACUGCGCUUGAAACUGGAUGACUGGAGUGAUGCAGGGGUGUGUGGAACUUCCGGUGGAGCGGUGAAAUGUGUAGAUAUCGGAAGGAACGCCAGCAGCGAAAGCGGCACACUGGGCAUUUUCUGACGCUGAGGCACGAAAGCUAGGGGAGUGAACGGG